GAAAUAAAAACAUCAGUAGGAGGGGAAGGAGGAAGGAAGGAGAAGAAAGAGGAAGAAUAGGAGGAGAAGAGGAAGAGAGGAAGAAGUCGUGAACAGCCCUCCUGCAUUUUGCAUCAGACGGAGUCUUGCUCUAUUGCCAGGUUGGAGUGCAGUGGCGCGAUCUCAGCUCACUGCAACCUCCGCCUCCUGGAUUCAAGCAAUUCUCCUGCUUCAGCCUCCCGAGUAGCUGAGACUACAGCUCACACAUCCUCCCCAUUCUCUGAGUUCCCACAAAGACUGUUAUUGCUGGGGCUCAUAAAAUUAUACUCCAAAGUAUGAUGCUUUGGCAUCCAGAGUGCUUUGAACUAUAGGAGAUUGAAGGCCCCAGAAGCCAAGUUUCCCUCUGACCUCCUGCCUCCCUGUCUCCCACCCCCUACUUUUCCCCUGAAGUGAGUCCUGGAAACCAGAAUUCUUCUUGCCCAAAGCAAGCCGUGACACCCUGGAAAUAUCACUCUAACCUUCCUUGCCUUUCCGUGUGGCAGCUGGCCAUGAAGAAAUUCUCUGACCUACCUUGUUUGAUAGCAGAUCACAAGACCCUGGUUCCAGAGCGGUCCUGCUUUACACCGAAGGAAAGGAAUGUCAUACAGAAAGGCCAAGAAGAAUCUGAAGAGAUGUCCAAUCACCUUUUCACGUGGCUGCCCAUUCUUCAUUGAACCUAAGCAUUAAAAUAGACAGUUUCCCCUGGGUCUUUGGGUCUUCAUUUCUGAAGACUCCAUGUCAUGUAAAACUUUGAUUAAAUAAAUGUAUCAUGCAUUACUUUUGCUAACCUGUCUUUUGUUAUAGGAGUGUCGCCUGUGACC
rnacentral:lncRNA from 1 species